GAGGGCUGCAGGCUGGAGGUCUGAGAGCUCCCUGACCACCCUCACUGCUCCUGGCGGCUGCUCCCACCUGGGCCCCAGGCCCCGCUUCAGAGCCCUGAGGCUUCCUCAGCCAGGCCCCAAAGACUCCAGUGUUUACAAGACCAGAAAUGCCACGGCCACGUCCCGGCAGAAAGAAAGGCUGAAAUGGAGGACCGACGCCUUCCUUAUAAGCUCACUGGGGCCUGAGCCAGUACCA
rnacentral:lncRNA from 1 species